rnacentral:rRNA from 1 species
UACGUAGGGUGCGAGCGUUAAUCGGAAUUACUGGGCGUAAAGCGUGCGCAGGCGGUUCGACAAGUCCGAUGUGAAAGCCCCGGGCUCAACCUGGGAAUGGCAUUGGAAACUGGCGGGCUGGAGUGUGGCAGAGGGGGGUGGAAUUCCGCGUGUAGCAGUGAAAUGCGUAGGUAUCCGGAGGAACACCAGAGGCGAAGGCGACCUCCUGGGUCGUACCUGACGCUGAGAUGCGAAAGCUAGGGGAGCAAACGGG